GACGAACGCUGGCGGCGUGCUUAACACAUGCAAGUCGAGCGGAAAGGCCACUUCGGUGGUACUCGAGCGGCGAGCGGGUGAGUAACACGUGAGUAAUCUGCCCUUCACUUUGGGAUAACCCCCGGAAACGGGAGCUAAUACCGGAUACGACCUUCAACCGCGUGGUUUGUUGGUGGAAACUUUUUUGGGUGGGGGAUGUGCUCGCGGCCUAUCAGCUUUUUGGUGGGGUAAUGGCCUACCCAGGCUUUGACGGGUAGCCGGCCUGUGAGGGUGACCGGGCACACUGGGACUGCGACACGGCCCAGACUCCUACGGGAGGCAGCAGUGGGGAAUAUUGGACAAUGGGCGGAAGCCUGAUCCAGCAACGCCGCGUGAGGGAUGACGGCCUUCGGGUUGUAAACCUCUUUCAGCACCGACGAAGCGCAAGUGACGGUAGGUGCAGAAGAAGCACCGGCCAACUACGUGCCAGCCGCCGCGGUAAGAC
rnacentral:rRNA from 1 species